AUGGAAUGAACCUUUCUGCAGAAAAAUCUCACCCACUCUGCGUUGAUUAAAGAGGGAACCUAUAUGAAAAGCUUACAGGAAAACAACAAAGGGGAGAUUAGAUUUCUAUGGAUUUUACCGUAAAAAUACUGGAUGUCAUCUGUAUUUUAGUACUAGUCCAGAUUCAUCCUGACUCAGUUGUGAAGUAUUUUGCUGUCAGGAAGCUCUCACAGUGUUUUACUAAAGAUGUUCUCAAAACAGCAGUUCUUCAAGUGAUUUCUAACCAUGCUAUGGUCAUACUAGCGAUCAUCCAAUAACGAGAGAAAAUGCCCUUGCAGGCUGUACCAUGUGCCAGAAGGACAGGGCAGGCCCCCUCUGUGACCAUCCUCUGGGGAGGAUUCAUGGAAGCAGAACAUCUUACCCUGAGGAGAAGCUGGUGAGAUGCCUUUCAGCUCAAUGACAGUAUUCCUCCCCGCAGCACGUUUCACAGCUGAGCAAGGACCUGCUAACAUCUAAUGGGCAUCUAACGCCCGAUGUGGACAAAACCAGCAGCAGAGCGCUUGUACUCAGUCAUAUCCCCUGUAUUGGCUCAGUUCUGAAAACUCACAGUUUGACGUUCUGACGUGGAAACAGAAACCGAACUAAAUCGUGUGAUGCCGGGAGGAAGAGCCACCGAGAUUUGUCUGACUUUUUGUCUGUUUGUGCCGGUUUGUCAGACUGCUGUGUGCUACCUCAGCUUUUCCCCCAGAAAGGGUGAUUUCAUUCCGCUUAUAUAAAUAUCUCCUAACCUGGUUUUAAACUCAGACUUUUUUGCCAGUAUGUGAUUCUUUACAUUUUGCAGAAUACCCACAACUGUGUUAGAGCCCUAAACGCUACAUUUUUGUCCUUGAAGGUUUUGAUUUCCAACACUUGAAGCAGUAAAGCCCCACCCCAUGCAUUUCAGUUUUAUCCCUCCUUUUUUCACUUGCCAAUGCAUACAAAUGAAGACCUAGGUAAACCUUUUCAGGAUGCUAAUGGCAAAUUCUCCAGUUCCCACGACAGUGCUAGCAGGGUGCAAGGCUAUGAGGAGAAAAGGAGGAAAUUAGCCUGUCACUCUGGGAAAGCAAUGCCUACUGAUACAAGGAGCAGUCUAAUCUCAGUAGCCUUUCUAAACAGUUUACAUGAAAAAACAACAAACAGAGGGAAGGAAGGAAGAAAAGGAUUUCUGUUGUAAAUUGACAGGAAUGGCUGUAUUGGGUUUCCGCUGAUGAAAUCUCUCCACAGCAAAGGGUUAGAAGGAAUAAAGGAGGCUUUAUGCCUUGUUAGGGUGAGAGAAAACAAGACAUAAUGAUGAAGCUGAAUAUGUAAGCAAGCUUCUCAAAACUUAUGUGAAUAUUUGGGAUUUACACUUUAUUUUCUGGAUAAACCAUCCACCAG